UGGACCUUAGGAAGUUGCUUAGUAGCCUCUA
rnacentral:piRNA from 1 species